GUAAAACUUUAACUUGUAGGAAUUCAAAAAAAGAAGCGGAUUUAAACCUGGCACAAGCUCGUAUGAGAGACCUUGAUGCUCAGCUGAAUGCGAAGGAAGCUGAUUUGGCAACAGCUUUGAAUGAGAACCGGACCUUGGAGAAUGAUGUUCGUGAAUUAAAGGAUCGAAUAGUCACUCUGAAGCUGUCACUGGAGGAUGCCAAAAAGCAUCUCCACAGUGAAACAUUGAAGAGGGUGGACCUGGAAAAUCAUAUGAAAACUUUGCAGGAACAAAUGACAUUCCAGAAGCGCCUUCACGAAGAUGAGCUUAAGGAGACAAAAAGAGUCCAUGAGAGCAGGAUAGCAGAAAUGGAAUCGGACUGUCAGAGGGAACUUGAGAGUAAGCUCUUGAAUGUUCUUCAGGAGCUCAGAAAACAACAGGAAGAAGAAAUUCAAGGCUACAAAGAGGAGCUGGAGCGAACAUUCAGUGCAAAAGUGGAGAAUGCCCAGCUAUCUGCAGCAAGAAGUAGUGACUUUGCCAAUGCUGCUCGGGAGCAGCUGAUCGAAACAAAGAUGAGAAUCGAUGCUCUGUCAUCUCAAGUUAAUCAUUAUCACAGCCAGAAUGCUGCUUUGGAGAACAGAGCAAGGGAGCUACAGGAGAUGCUGGAUUAUGAUCGUGAUCUCCAUCAAAGGUGUAUUGCUGAAAAAGAGAAAGAAAUGGUAGAAGCCCAGCAGCAGGCACAAGCACAGUUGGAAGAAUAUGAACAUCUCUUGGAUGUGAAACUGGCUCUAGAUCUGGAAAUAAAUGCCUACAGAAAGAUGCUGGAAGGAGAGGAACAGAGGCUAAACCUGUCACCCAGUUCGUCUUCACACAGCAUUGGAACUCAAGCAACAAGUCAAAGGCGAUGGUUCCUGCAUGGGAAGAAAAGGAAAAUGAAAGAGGCUAAAAAGAGAAGGCAUAGUGCUGGGUUUAAGAUUGUUCAGCAUGCUUCAUCUUCUGGAAAUGUAUCUAUUGAAGAAAUCGAUGCAGACGGGAAAUUUGUGAAGCUUAAAAACACCUCUGAUGAGGAUCAACCACUACAUGGAUGGGUGUUAAGACGACAUCUUGGAAAUGUGUCAGAUGUAACAUACAAAUUCCCAUCACAGUUCACUCUUCAGGCGGGCCAAGUAGUUACAAUCUGGGGUGCAGCUGCUGGUGUAAGCCCAGGUCCUACUGAUCUGGUCUGGAAGUCUCAGAAGUCUUGGGGAGCUGGGGAUAGUAUUGGUGUUACACUCAUCACAAAUGAUGGUGAGGAGCUCGCAGAGAGGAAGAUAAUGCAUAUACCCAGAGAAGAAAGCAGUGAACAAGAUGAGGAAAUAACUGGAAGUGAAAUGGAGCUUUCAUCCCAGACCAAAAGAAGAAGAAAAAAGAAAUGUUGUUUGGUUUCAUGAUAGUGGUUCCUGUGAGCAUCCUUAAGCAGCAAUUUUUUAAUAGUUUUGUGACACUUAUGCGAAGUGAGGAUUCUAGCUGUUCUAUAAUGUAAUGUGGACAAGAUGAUGGUCAUGUGAAAACACUUCUGAAGAAACUGUGUCUGUUUUGGUAUCUUCUGCAAUAUCUGAAACUUGGAAUUUGCAUCUCCUAUCUGACCUCUUUAUAUAAAAAACCCCAACAAUGCUGGCUAUAACAU